GCAAACUUGGUCAUUUAGAGGAAGUAAAAGUCGUAACAAGGUCUCCGUUGGUGAACCAGCGGAGGGAUCAUUACCGAGUUUACAACUCCCAAACCCCUGUGAACAUACCACUCGUUGCCUCGGCGGAUCACCGCGCCCCGUGAAACGGGCCGGCCCGCCAGAGGACCUAAACUCAAUGUCUUAUUGUAUCUUCUGAGUAAAAACACAAAUAAAUCAAAACUUUCAACAACGGAUCUCUUGGUUCUGGCAUCGAUGAAGAACGCAGC
rnacentral:misc_RNA from 1 species